AAACCCUAAGCGGCCACCAGCAAUCUGGCGCCGCAACUGCUGCCUCUUCGCGCUCCUCUACGCACGCCACACCUCCGCAAAUGCCGCUCCUCAAGCACGUACCUGCAACAAGUGAAAGAGAAGAGCAAAAAUGGGGCCAACAAACAACCGAAUAGAUUUAUUUGGAUGUAUUUUUCUUUUCCAUUUUCGGCUAUAAAAGGCCAAUAUUUUCAGUGUAAAAGGGGGAUGGAGUGUAAAUGAGACAAAUAUAGAGAGAAA
rnacentral:lncRNA from 1 species